rnacentral:rRNA from 1 species
CCUACGGGUGGCAGCAGUGGGGAAUAUUGGACAAUGGGGGGAACCCUGAUCCAGCCAUGCCGCGUGUGUGAAGAAGGCCCUCGGGUUGUAAAGCACUUUCAGUGAGGAAGAACGCCUGGUGGUUAAUACCCAUCAGGAAAGACAUCACUCACAGAAGAAGCACCGGCUAACUCCGUGCCAGCAGCCGCGGUAAUACGGAGGGUGCGAGCGUUAAUCGGAAUUACUGGGCGUAAAGCGCGCGUAGGUGGCUUGAUAAGCCGGUUGUGAAAGCCCCGGGCUCAACCUGGGAACGGCAUCCGGAACUGGCAAGCUAGAGUGCAGGAGAGGAAGGUAGAAUUCCCGGUGUAGCGGUGAAAUGCGUAGAGAUCGGGAGGAAUACCAGUGGCGAAGGCGGCCUUCUGGACUGACACUGACACUGAGGUGCGAAAGCGUGGGUAGCAAACAGGAUUAGAUACCCUAGUAGUC